CUCCUCCCCGAUCCCCUCCACCUUCUUCCUCCCACGCCUCAGCCCCCGAUCCACCAACCCACCGCCGCGCCCCAGGCCGGCCAACUACCACCGCCAGUGCUCCGCCCAACUGCCCCACCUUCGCCGGCGCGCCCCUUCCUACCCAACACCGCCUUUCUGGAUGGAGCGCCCCCCAACUCCGGCCUUGCGCCACCCAGGGACUCCCCGGCCUCCCACCGCCCCGGCCGCCCUCACCUGCUACUGCGACGUCCGGAUCCAGCCACACAGCAGCCCCACCGGCCGGCGCUCCGCACCUCCUUCGCUGUCGCGCCGUGCCACCCACCGCCCCAACCGCCACCUCCCCUGGGUAGCCGCGCCGCCACCUUCCCCCGUGCCGCCAGCCUCCCCCGUGGUCACCACCACACCCCUCCCCCACGCACCUUCGUCCCCCCCGCGCCACCCAAUCAACAGAUCCGAGCGUCCGCCGGUCCCCAACAUCCUCCGGAUCGGGCGGCCAUGGAGGGAUGAUGUGUGGGGUGAGGUCCGGCAGCACUCCCGCGUUGACGACGACGGGGCGGCCCCCUCUGUCGGAGCUAUGGUUGGCCUACGCAGCCAACACGGACGCGGCCUCGAUCUGGGGUACCUCCACAGCGGCCUCGAGUGUCGCAGUGUUCCGACGAAGCAGCUCUGACUGGGUGGAUUUGGAACUGCAGUCCACAUCGCACAGAGGAGUGCCCCACUUCCUCCUCUCCAUGCAGUCCACUGUCAAAGCCAAGGGACUUGCCGUCCCGGGGGCAUCAGAGGCAGCUGGCUUCAAAGAUUGGAGGGGGUUCGGUUAUCUCGGCGGUCAGCGACGAGGGAUCCGAGGCAGCCACCGCGCCGACAGCCCCGUGCAGCUCAGUUGGCAAGCCCGUGCAGCUCGGUUGCCACGGCCGACCUCCAAAGCCUCCUCCCCAACCCCGACACUGGACGGCGCCGCCCCGCCAUCCCUUCACCGUGAUGUAGCUCCGUCGUGCGUUGUCAAGGCGAGGCUACUUCUCCACCCCCUGGACUCGAAGGAUCUGGCCUGAUGCGGUUUCGUCAAGCGCCGCCAUGGAGGAUACAAGUCUCGGGUCCUUCUUCUUCCCAGGUCGCCACUGCUCCGACGCCAUGGAAGGUCGUGAUGCAUGUCAUCCCUUCACUGUGAUACACGUCUUUCCUUCAACCGACGACAGUCGCGGCAGUGCACUCGUCCCUCUCUCUUCCAGUGGAGUUUGGAGUUUGCUAUGUGUCGUUCUUCCGGUUGAAUUUGUAGGUUUUUUCCAGUUAAUUUUUUAAAAGGAAAUCAGUUUCUUUUCCUGAGGUGUGCAGUUUACUUGUGCAUAUUUUCAUAUAAUUUUGCACUUACUCCUGAAGUGCACUCGAUGUGGUCCGCUCUAACAGUUCCCGCAGUUUAGAUGGGAGCUUGAUGAGGUUCUCAUUCAAAAUGCACUACUCGACAGCGGUUCAGCAACUCAUCCCAUGCAGCUCGGUUCGCACAAGCGUGCGGUUUGGUAUAUAGCCCUAUGCAGCUCAAUGUGGUGGCGUACAGUUUGUGCAUGUUUUUUUACUGCAAGUUGUGCAUCGUGCAGUUUGAUCUCGGCCACCACCAUCUCGUUGUUCCUGCCCUUGCGACGCGGAGGCCGCAGUCCACCCGACGUUGCGCUGCAGUCCGCUCCCAGCCCCUUAUCUACAAGUUUGUGGUGAAAAAAUUGUGGUUCACGUUGUUGUGUUGGAGAGAUCUACAAGAUACUCGUUCAAUUUUACUUUUUCAGGUUUUGCUUGGCAAAAAAUUUCAGUUCUCCCAUUCAGAUUCUUUUUUGGGCGUUCUGAUAUCCAGUGUAGUGCGUGUGAGGUACAAAAAAUGUGGUCCAUAUUAUUCAACUUGUGUGUGA